GGGCAGGGGAAGGGGUUGGCGUUAGCGCGGGAGGAGGGAGGGAUUCUUCCGUGGGCUCAGACGAGCCCAAGGUGCGCGGACUCGUUUUCCUUGAGGAGCGGAAGAGUUCCUCGGCGGCCGCAACAUGACGUCAGCGGCCCCAGCUCGCUGGUGGAGGCGUGUGGCGGCCGGAGAGUGCGCUGCGCAUGCGCGCCUGGCAAGAAAGCGGCGGCCGAGCCGGGCCCCGGGGCUGGGUUUCUGUGGCUCUGCGCCUCCGCCGGACUUGGAGCUGCCUGGUUUCAUCCGACGUCACUUGGCACCUGGCGUGUGGCGAGAGUUUAAUUGGGAACGGGCUGGUGAUCUGCUGUGCAGAGAGGCGGAGUCUCCACCUCAGGCAUGGAAAGCCAAGGCAUUGUGGCAAACAAAAUGUUCUACAUGAAGGAUCUCUGUGAGAGAUACCCCAGUGGAAAGAAGCGGCCAAAGAAGGAUGUACUGUUCUCUAAAAGGGAGAGAGUUUCCUCUUUGCUCAUGGCCUUGUCCAAAUACUGGACUCAAAAGGCUUCCAUACCUAGGCAGCUCGUGUUGAGACCUUCGGGUGACCACAAUCAAUCAUAAGAGUGUUAAUUGUUAAAUUAGGACCUCUGUCCUCAAUGAGUUGUAUUUAUGAGUUAACUGUAUACAUAGUUCUCAGUUUGUGUGUGUGUGUGCAAAUUGCUGAAAUCUUUACUUAGUAUAGAGUUGGUCUUCUGUGUACAAAGUCAAUUGAAAAUGAAUCUUAAUGGAGCAUGGGACUGGGAAUUGGAGAGGGAGGAGGUGGAGGGUUGGGAGAGUGAGUGGGAGGGUGGGUAUGGUGGGAAGAAUAACUAUAUUCCUAAAGUGUACUUAUGAAAUUUGUAUUCCUUAAAAAGUAAAUUCAAAAAAUAAUAAAAAUAAGUAAAUAAAAUUGCCUGUGGCAAGUCCAAAAAAAA